rnacentral:misc_RNA from 1 species
AUAGAGAUGUGAAUCCUUUUGUUUGAUGAUCUUAGAAAUAAUGUUCAGCUGCCUCCUGAUUCCAACCUCAUCAAGCCUGAAGUUAUGCCUAGCCUUCGUCAUGAAACCAACAAAGCACCAAAAAGCUUCAUGGUCCUCUGUCAUUACAGAAAUUAUGGGUGACAGCAAAUCGCUCAUCCCCUGGCAAUAACCAAUUUCAGGGUCAUAUAGCGCAUAGGCUUCAAGAAUGGAGACUAGCCGAGCAGCAUGUAGGAUCCUAGGGGGCUCUAGGUGUUCAUAGUCCUUCAACCCAACAGCCUCUGCAAAACGGUGUGCCCUGCUUUCUGAUACAACAGCUUGAGAUGGGGAGUAUGCUAUCCAUUCAGCGUUAGCACGAACUGCAUCAAGCCGAAUUAUUCGUUGCCAUGUAGCAAAAUCUUCUGCAUUGCAGGGCCGUGACUGAACUUCUGCCUUUGAAGGAGAAGAGUCCUCCUUAGAGUUCACUUCAGCAGUAUUCUCAUCCAUGCUUUCUGCCGAGGGGACAGUUUGACUGAUAUCAGGAUCUGCAGAGGAAUCUGAGUCUGAUGACUCGGAAUCAGAGACAUCAUUUGGCUCUGUAACUCGUUUGGAACUGGAAAAUUCAUCUGACAUUGUACCACCGGGAUUAUCAGAAUCCUCGACAUAUGUGCUCCGGUCCUCACUGGAGAGAGAUUCCCGGGCAGUAACAACAUCGUCAUAAUCAGGGGAAUCCAUCCCUUCAGUGAUAUUUCCUUCACCAUCGCUUCCCAUUCCACCAGUUUCCCUCAUUUUAGAGGUCCCAUUGCGUUUCAGCAGUCUGCGACAUUCUCUACGAUAGCUCUCAUAUUCCCUCCUCUUCUGAUUUCUUAUACAAUCUCUUUCUUCUUUAGAGCUGUUCAACUCAUAGACUCCCAGGAGAAAUGGCCAAACCUCGGCCCUGAUACUAGGAUCAACACCUCCACUUCGGACUUUCUUUAGAAAUUUAAUUCCACCAUCACGAAGUUUUCCUUCUGGUGUGAAAAAGCUUCUCCACUGUUGGGGCGCAAGAGCACGUUUUCUUUUUCUACGAGACCAUGGUGAUUUGAGAUGACCUCGAUCAGAUGAAGCACAGUAAGCUGGUGAAGAGGACGCAACAACAAAUAGAACUGAUCUCAAAUGAAUCCACGAGGAUGAUGACGCCGCCGUGGACGUCGCCGUCGCCGUCGCUGUCGAUGAUGAAUUUGAAGAAGGUGAAGGUGAAGGUGAAUUUGAAGACGAUGAAGUCUGACUUCGUUUGAGAGCUUUCAUUUACAAAGUAAUCACUCUACUCUUCAACAAAUUUCUAGGGUUUUCAACAAGUGAGAUUGACGUAAAAGAAACUGUGAUAACGUAAUUUCCUUUUCACAAUGAAAAAUUCAUCCGGUUAUUUUUUAAUUUUUUUUUAACUUAGCUAACGGCGGCGGGUAAUGCAAGUCCGGCCAAGGCCGUGAAAGCAAAAAGUACUACUCCGGCAUUAGAAAGGUGGUGGUUCAGCGAGAAACCACCGCUGC